CAUGUCCUUUUGGCUUUUAUAUAAGGUUUAACCUGCCCGUUGAUUAAGUUAAAUGGCCGCGGUAUUUUGACCGUGCAAAGGUAGCAUAAUCAUUAGUUUCUUAAUUAGGAGCUUGUAUGAAUGGUUGGACGAGAGAGUAGCUGUCUCAUUAAUAUUUUUCUAGAAUUUAACUUUUCAGUUAAAAGGCUGAAAUUUGAAUGAAAGACGAGAAGACCCUAUAGAGUUUUAUAUUAAUAUGAAUUUAUUGCGGGAAGAAUUUAUUUUUUUGUUUAUAUUAUUAUUUGGUUGGGGUGACACGAAGAUUAACAUAACUCUUCUUAUAUUUAUCAUUUUACUUGUUUUUAUGAUCCGAUUUUUUCGAUCAAGAGAAUAAAUUACCUUAGGGAUAACAGCGUAAUCUUUUUGAAGAGUUCUUAUCAAUAAAAAGGGUUGCGACCUCGAUGUUGGAUUAAAAUUAAUUUAUGGCGCAGAAGCUAUAGGAUUGAGUCUGUUCGACUUUUAAAAUUUUACAUGAUCUGAGU
rnacentral:rRNA from 1 species